GAUGAACGCUGGCGGCGUGCCUAAUACAUGCAAGUCGAGCGAACGGACGAGGAGCUUGCUCCUCUGAUGUUAGCGGCGGACGGGUGAGUAACACGUGGAUAACCUACCUAUAAGACUGGGAUAACUUCGGGAAACCGGAGCUAAUACCGGAUAAUAUUUUGAACCGCAUGGUUCAAAAGUGAAAGACGGUUUUGCUGUCACUUAUAGAUGGAUCCGCGCUGCAUUAGCUAGUUGGUAAGGUAACGGCUUACCAAGGCAACGAUGCAUAGCCGACCUGAGAGGGUGAUCGGCCACACUGGAACUGAGACACGGUCCAGACUCCUACGGGAGGCAGCAGUAGGGAAUCUUCCGCAAUGGGCGAAAGCCUGACGGAGCAACGCCGCGUGAGUGAUGAAGGUCUUCGGAUCGUAAAACUCUGUUAUUAGGGAAGAACAAAUGUGUAAGUAACUAUGCACAUCUUGACGGUACCUAAUCAGAAAGCCACGGCUAACUACGUG
rnacentral:rRNA from 1 species